AGUGAGAGGAGGAUGCCCAUGACAUUUGUGGCUGAUCGUCCAUUCCUCUUCACGAUCAGGGAAGAAACGACCGGAACAGUUCUGUUCAUCGGUAACCUGCUCAACCCUCUUGCCGGCUGAGUGUUACAACCCCCUGGGAAAGGGCAUCAGAUGUACGUAGAAUAAUACGCGCGAGACUGUAGUAAAUAAAAUGUAUGAUCCUUGUAUACAUGUACUAUGUUUGGUUAUUACCUAAUCACCCUGUACUUGCAGCAGUUGGUCUUGUUUCUCCCAUGUGGCGAUUUUUGUUUGUUCUCCCAUGGCGUUUAUCCAUGUGUAGAAUCUUGAUUCUGAAUACUUAUUUUAUGAUGUACUCUGUUUGAACAAUAAAAGUUUUAGCCGACUGCAAACGUCGGUUAGUGUUAAAGUAUUUAAUAUAUAGAAUGGACGAGUGCUAGUGUUGUACCAUACACAUGGUUGGUGAUGAAAAAGAUUAAACUUUGAAUAUUCUAUAAAAUAUUAUUUAACUUGGGACGAGGAUCUUCUUUGUGAGGAUCUUAUGAAUUAAUUUAUCUUAACGGUUCAUUGUACAUCGUGUGACCAUCUUUCAUUAGAUACUUUUUGUGUUAAAUUUUAAAUAAAUUCAAAAUAAUUUUUGGCUGCAGGAUGAUUGAUAAACAGAUAUGAUGCAUUGAUUCCUAAAGUCCUCACAAAGAGAAUCCGGAUGUUUAUAGUCCUCCAUGACUGGAGAUGGCCUAAGAUGCUAAACACUUAACACUACCCAAUUUUUCCAGUUAGUUAAAUUUUCACAAUUAGUGUAUUAAAUUGCUUAAGAAAUGUUAUCAGCACUCUAAAAUAAUUGACCAUAUUUUCUUGACUCUUUUGUUAAAUUGCAUGAAGAUUUUUUUGGAUAGUCAAUAAUAUCUCCCAAUUGCUUAACAUAGAAUUAAAUAGAGUAUCGCUAACUAGAGCAUGAUAUGUUUCUGUGUCUUUGAUGCCCUUUGCUCGAGAAAAUUUAGUAUAGGGUUUUCAUCACAAAUGGUCCCUGACAUUGAUCAAACACAUCAUUUUGGUCCCUGACAUUGAAAAUCAAUAGAAAUGGUCCCUGACAUUGAUCAAACACAUCAUUUUGGUCCCUGACAUUGAAAAUCAAUAGAAAUGGUCCCUGACAUUGAUCAAACACAUCACAAAUAGUCCUUCCGUUAAAAACGUUUUGGGCAAUUUUCAAAGCUUUGUAACUCAAUCGUUUCUUAACCAAAUUCGACCCAUAAUAUAUCAAAAUGAAGAUAGGAAAGUGUAGAACAAGAUUAUACCUAUUUGGAAACCCAAUGGUUGCCGGAGAUGGCCGGAAAACAGCCUCAAAUGUGACUGGUCCGCGAAAAAACUGGAAAACUCGCCUGAAAUGGGGUAAACUUUAAACAUUCAUAACUUCUUCAAUAAUCAACGAAAUCGAGUGAUUCAAAAAUGAAAAUCAUACUUCUCGACGAGACUAAGAGAAUGGUAGCUUUCUUGAUGGCUAACUCAUUGUAGUUUGGCCGGAAAAUGACUCGAAAUUGGCUAACUCGAAAAUGGUUAUCCAAGUUCGAGCCAUUUUCCGGUCAAACCACGGUAAAUUAGUAGUCAAUAAAGAUACCAUUAUCUUUCUCUCAUUGAGAAGUAUGAUUUUCAUUUUUGAAUCACUCAAUUUCAUUGAGUAUUGAAGAAGUUAUGAAUGUUUAAAGUUUACCCCAUUUCAGGCGAGUUUUUCAGUUUUUUCGCGGACCAGUCACAUUUGAGGCUGUUUUCCGGCCAUCUCCGGCAACCAUUGGGUUUCUAAAUAGGUAUAAUCUUGUUCUACACUUUCCUAUCUUCAUUUUGAUAUAUCAUGGGUCGAAUUUGGUUAAGAAACGAUUGAGUUACGAAGCUUUGAAAAUUGCCCAAAACGUUUUUAACGGAAGGACCAUUUGUGAUGUGUUUGAUCAAUGUCAGGGACCAUUUCUAUUGAUUUUCAAUGUCAGGGACCAAAAUGAUGUGUUUGAUCAAUGUCAGGGAUCAUUUGUGAUGAAAACCCUUUAGUAUAUGAACGACAAACUACGUGUUAUUACGGCCACAGACGAUAAUCCAGACUAUUUGUUUAAUACUUAAGCUUACUUGUGGUCCCAUUAUGUAAAAAAAUUUUGCAUUAGUCUGCACACAAGAAAUUUUUUAUUGGUUUCAGUUGAGCUCAAAUAAUAAUAAUCUGUUCGUGUAAAAGUUAAAAUUUAUCUUAUUAUGUAAUUGAUUUAAAAUACCGUAAAUACUGAUUUAAAAUUAUCUCAUUGUCAGCUUGUGUGUCAUUCUCGUAGAAUUUGGAAUUAUUCACAUUGUUUAGUAACGUAGGAUAUUUCAAGAAGCAUUUUUGCUCACUAUCAUUUAGUGUAAUGUAUAUUCAUCAUUCUAUUUAUCAUCGUUAGAUGAGUUUGAAUUUUAAGAUCCGUGUAGUGGAUAGACACAAAUUUCAAAAUUCAAUCUCAUCUAACGAUAAUAAAUAUGAUGAUGAACAUAAAUCAAAUAAAUGAUGAUGAAAAAAAAUACAUAGAUAUUUCAGUACAUGAAAACGUCACGUUAAUGAAAGGAGCUGGAGCGCCUGCUGCUGACCUCGGUCAAACAGACGGUGUGGGUUUCACGUGGCUGGCGCGAAAUCUAAACCGUUAAUUUAAUGUUAGUUAUCUCUCCCCUUGUCACGACUCCCAUGUAAUGCUGUAAAGUCACAAGCACCCAUCGUUUGGUUCUAAUAUUACAACAGUACCGCCCAUGGAAACACAAUCUUAAGCAAUCUCUAAUACUCAUAAUGUUGUUGAAGUUUUGCACUAAUAAUAGUUGCUAAACAGUGAUUAGACAGUCAGAUAAGAGACAGGGUUUAUGAUGUGAUUUGGACGUCCCAUCCUUUGCCACUUAAAAUGUCUUACCUACCAAACAUAUCUUGAAAAAUAAUUUAGCUUGGUACGAAGAAUCACAAUUUUUGUUUAUAAUUGACGAAAUCAAUCAAUGCAUGUUUUUUAUCAAAUCAAUAUUUAUUGGGAUAUUCAUCCUUAAAAUCUUCAUUUUGUUAUAAAACAACAAUAUAUUUAUUAUUUUUAAAAUUUUGUAAUACGUUUAUUUAAGUAGUGACUUUGAACGUUUUAAAAUUGAAAAAUCAAUAUUUAAAUGCAAAGUUGUCCGUUUUGAAUAAUCUCUAACAAUAUUUUCCUUCUCGUAAAUGAGUAAGAUUGGUUUAUUUUGUACACAAUUAGAUAUUGAGAGUUGAAAUUCUAAAUACUAAGUUCUUCUUAACAUAUUUUCGUAACCAUUUAAGAUGUUUGUAUAUUCGAAGAAUAUGGAAAAAUUGAAUCAACCCAGAUUAUUAUUAUGGCUGUCGACAUCUUUUAUCAGAGGAUAGCCAUCAAGUCACACCGCAUAUCCAGAAAGAGAAAUCCAUCCAAAAAAUAGGAAAACGAAAUGACAUUCCUUAUUUUCCUCCAUGGACGUCCCUUCUCUCCCCACCACGAAGGUCCCAGCUGAAAAGAAACGGAUGGCACAAUCGUGAUUAUCACAAACAGGAAUGUCAAAUUGUAGCAAGAGCAUGGUCAGCGCCGUUACAAAUAAGUGGAAGUUCCUCGGAAGAGUAAGAGAACGCGACAAUCAUAACGUAAUCUAUCUCUUCACUUUCUCAAUCCUUUUCUAUCUUUUUUUUCUUUCUGGGUUCCUUGUACUUCUCAUAAAUAUUAAGAGUUUAAUUCAAAAGAAAGGAACUUUCUCUUUCAUUGCUUACAUUUUUUUUUUCAGAUUAUUUACUUUCCCUUCCUUGCAGUUGCUUGGAAGAAACCAAGCUCAGAAGACCUUUGUUUUUUGAGAAUUCAGUUCAAUCCGUUUAUAUAUAUAUAUAUAUAUGGUGUUGAUGAUUUACCAGAAGUGAUAGUGCUUCAACCGAGAAGAAGAAGCUUUUAGUCUUCAGAAAUUCAGAGAAAAGAUAAGGAAGUGGAAGAGUGAAGGAAAAGCAAAUCAAAAGAUGGGAGAAACUGCUCCUCAUCCUCCACCACAGGUGGUUGCUCGGCCGUCUCAGAUGCCUCUUGGGGCAGCGAAGGGUCCCCAUUUGGACUCCAACUGAGCAGCUCCACAACCUUCAGUAUUGCAUCCACUCCAACCCCUCUUAGCGUUAGUCUCUCUCUGUUUCUGUUAAUUUCUUCGUUCUGGGUUUUAUAUUUUUUGAGUAAAAAGCUGAUUAAAGUUGUGCUAUUUUAAUGGGUUGGUUUAAAAGUUGAAGCUUUUGGCACUACUUCUUAUUUAGUUUACUAGUUUGCUUUUUAUUCCUAAUUUUGCAAAUUACUUUUACUAUUUUUGUUUCGGAUUCUCUAAUUUAUUGUGUUCGAAUCUUUUUAAGUACUGUAAUUAGUUCUAAUAAAAUAAUAAGCAUAUGUUCCAUUACCAGUUUCAACUUAUCCUGCUUACAAGACAUCGAUAUCACUCGAAAAUGUUUAGGAAGUGUAAACGUAAAUUUCCCAUGUUUAUCAAAUGCAACAAACUGCUUCUAAUGGAUCGAAUUUUACAGCGGAAACAUUCGUACUCGCUUUUCAGCACUAUAUUGUGAUGCUCGGAUCCAUAGUUAUAAUUGCCACUAGUUUCGUGCCUCGGAUGGGUGGGGAUCAUGUAAGUUAUGUCCUCUAUACAGUAAAGUUUAUAAUAUGCCGGUUAAGAUUAGCGAUCACACACGUAGCUUUGAAUCCGUGAUGUUAAUGUUUGGGUUUUGUUCUCCCUUUGUGAUCAGGGUGACAAGGCACGCGUGAUUCAGACGAUGCUGUUUAUGGCAGCAAUAAACACUUUGAUCCAAACAUUCACGGGACAAGGCUUCCAACAGUGAUGACUUCGUCAUUCGCUUUUACCCUUCCGGUGAUGUCAAUCAUCAAUGAUUAUUCUGAUCGGAAUUUUAGAAGUGAACAUGAGGUAUGUAAAGUUUGAAACAUGUUAUUCAUAGAGGAUUUAACAUCACAUUAAUUUACUUCUUAAAUUGCUUUAAGAAAUUUCAGUUAUAGACUUUGAGAUGAAAAAUACGUGGUGCAAAAAACGUGUAAACCUUACAUACCUGUAGAAGACGUCAUGAUGAAUUUCUGGUUUUGAGGACGGAAUAGAUUGAAGCACGUCCAUGCACUGUUGCGUCAUAUGCAACAAACUGAUGGGGAGUUCUAGGGUUGUGGCAUUAGCAAUGUGACAGGGACCUCAAACUUACAUAGGCCUCACGUCCCUAGAACCCUACCCACUAAUGGAGACUAGAAACUCUUAUGAUCCUCUAACGAGAAUAAUAAAGCCAAUGGAAAUGUUAGCACACAAUUGUUGUACAUAUAACAGACUUCGAGCAAUUUUUGGAACACGUAAAACAUUGUUAAGAAUAAGAUCAUGAGUAUUGGUUUUAAUGGUUGUUGCAUCAAUAUUCUUAAUGGAUAAACCUGUUCCAUUUCCAACUGUGAUUUUAUCAAAACCUUGGAAUGGUGUAACUUGAUUCAAUGUGGUGGCAUCAGCAGUGAUAUGAUGAGAUGCACCAGUAUCAACAAUCCAUGCAUCAUGAGGAAUAUAUUGUUCUAUCUGCUGUGUUGCCAUAGCUGUUAAGUUUGCAGGUGGUUGUUGGCCUUGAAAAACAUAAUUCCCUUUGUGAUAACAUUCAAGAGCUGAGUGACCUUUUUUUCCCACAAAUCUGACACUCCAUUUGAAAUCUAGUAUUUGGUGUAGUAGCAUUUCUGUGAAAACAAUUGACUGCAGUAUGCCCUUUCUUGUUGCAGAUUUGGCACUCAAUCACUGUUGUUGACCUGCUCUCUGUGUUUCCAUUCCACACAUUUGAACCAUUUGACCUUGAAUUGCCAUACGAAAAAUCAGAAGAGUUUCCUAUGUUGUAACCCUUGCUUUUGAAUCCACCAUUUGUCUUGUAAUUAUUGUUACCCUUGUAGUUUGAACCACCAAAAGGUUUCUGCAUGAAAUGAGGUAUUGGACCAGAAUUUGAUGCAUUAGCCAUAAACCCAAAACCAUAGGGAACUUGAGGAUAAACUGGACCAGGAAAUUGCGGAGACAUAGGAGGUUGAGGCAUAUGAGGUUGCUGUGGAUAUUGUUGUGGCAAGACAAAUGGCUGUGGUUAUUGUGGCUGUGGAUAUUGUUGUGGAUAUUGCUGUGGUAAAACAAAUGGCUCAGCAGAAUAUGGAUAUGGAUUAGGAGUUAUAACACCACCAGUGGUUGCAGGUAAAUGACUAUGCCCUGCAGGAUUAGACCCUGAAGCAAAUGAAUUUCCCUGAGUUGACUAAGAACCCUAAACAUAUAAGGCAGAUAGACUUUGAGACCCAACACUUGUGUCUCAUUCAAUCUCUUUUUCAGCUCUAAAUUUUUUCAAGGAAAUGGAUGAUUCUUUGCCAUAUAUCACAGUUCGAAUAGUUGCAUACUCCUUCGGCAAACCAGCUAAACCAGCAAUUAUAACAUCAUUAUCAGAAAUGAACUCUCCAGUAGCAGUUAAUUGUUCUCUUAUACUCUUCAAUCUUAACAGAUAUUUAUCCAUCAAAUCUCCUCAUUUUUGAAUGGUGUACAACUCAAUUUUUAAAUGAUUUACCCUAGUUUUAGACACUGAAGCAAAUCUAUCCACAAGAUUCGACCAAGCCUCACAAGCAGUUAAACAUCCAAGAACAUAUUUAAUAGCCUCAUCAAACAAAGUAGCUAGUAAAAGACUUAGUAAUGGAUAUGUGGAUUCCCAUUCAACAUAUUCAGCAAGUUCAGAAGUAACUCCUCUCUUAGUAUCUAUUACAAAUUUUUGUGGACAACCAAUAGUGCCAUCAAAAUGCCCAAACAAUUUAUGACCUUUCAACACAUAUUUGAACUGAAAAGCCCAUUUCACAAAAUUAUCAUCCUUCAACUUUAUUGUGAUCAUUCCCAGUUUCAACUUUAACACUUGAAGUAGUCAUGAUUUCUUGAUCGAACACAUAGAAUUUGCAAAUAACAAACAAACACCCAAAAAUUUCUGAUAUACGUAUUGAAAGGAAAGACUGAAACUUUCUCACAACCCAAGCAAGACUGAAACUCGCUUAAUACUCAGGAAAAACUGAAACUUUCUUGAUGAAUCUUGCACACAAAUACAACACACAAUUCCAAUUCGGAAAAGAAAACACAAAAUCUUCUAAUCAGGACUGAAACCCAAUUACUCAACAGAAAUUCACACUAUCACUUGAAUUGCAGCUGUGAUUGCAGCCACAAAUAGCCAGAAUACCAACCGCCAGAAAGAACAACAAGGAUCUGCAAUCGCCAGAACUUUUGAACAAACCCGUUGAAAAGACCUUUCAGAAUCCUUGAACUGGAUAGCAGCGAAAGAACUAGGAUCGAAAACGGUAGUGAACCAUGGUCAGCGAUGAUACCAUAUUAACAGUGUUGAAUUGUGGCCAAGUGGCCAUCACCUUUCGGCUAAUAAACAAACAAAGAAAAGAAAAAGAAAGACAAAAUGAUGAGGAAACAUCAUGAUGAGGAGGCAUCAUGAUUAUGCUUUCUUGUAGUUUUUUAAUAACCAUAAUUAUUGUUUUUGUUUCGGGUAGAAGAGAAGAAAGGGAGAGCUCAUUUUUUAGAAGAAAGCAUAUUAAAGAGAGAAGAGGAGAGAGAGAAGGUAGAGCCUUUUGGUUAUAAAAGGCAUUCGAUUAUGCCUUUGGAUGUGGGAGGGGGGGGAGCGGCAGAUGAGAGAGCACAGGGAGAGCAUUCGGCUCUCCCAUUUGAAUAUGAGCUGCUCCUUCCCACCAUUUGUAAUAAUCCCAUUUUGUUAGUAAUCACUCAAUCAAAGAUGUUGGUGCUACUUGUGUAGCUUUUGGGAGAGAAGGAUUUUGAUAUGUGUUUCUUCUUCUCCAUUUGUUUCUUAGUUUGAGUGAGAGCUAUUGGGUGUAUGUGGGAUUUGGGUUUGAGUGUUGAACUCUAUUUGUAAUCUCCUUUUGAUAUUAAUGGAAUUUCCUCGCCGUCUCGGAACUGGAUGUAGGCUUACGCCAAACCAGUAUAAAAAUCCUUGUGUCUUUUGGAUUAUUUGUCUUGUCAUAUUUUGCCGUUAUUAGCUUUGAUUUCAUAUUUGAAGCUUCCGCACAACAAGUGGUAUCAAAGCUCCGGGUUUCGACUUGGAGGCUUUGUACUAGUAUGUCUAUGAAAUCUUCAAAUGACGGUGAAAUAUGUUUUUUGGAAAAAUUCGACUGGAGGAAUGACUUUGGCAUUUGGUCAAUUGGAGAUGCAGAGUUUGGCUGCAAAAUGCGUGGCGUUGAAGAAGGAUAGUAAGGGACUAUGCUGCAGUCAUUGAGCUUGCAGAUUGGAGAAUGGUUUCGGAAACAGCGUGUCUGCUGCAAUGUUGCCGUCGAUGUUGUUGAAGUGUUGGUGUUCGACAGCUGCAGAUGUAGUGUACUGCUUUUGGUGGGUUCUCUGUUGGUCAUCGCUGCACCGGAGGUGUUUGUGGGCUGUUGUCGACGAGUUGAGUGGGAAGGAGAAAAGGUAGAAGCAGUUGAAAAUUGAAAAGAAAAUGUUGGUUCUUUUUCUUUCGGCAUUUGUUUUGGCAGAAGGACAUCAUGAUGACAAAUGAUGUUGUUGGCUGGAAGAAAAGGGAAAAAGGCUAAGGCUAAGUUUUCUUUUCUUUGGCAUUUUUUCAACGGCAGAAAAUUUUUGGUUCUUUUUUCACUCCCAUUAGUUGCCUUUGGAGCAAGUUGAUGGAAACAUUGGAGGAGUUUGUGAGGGCCAAUUUGUUGAGUUCUGCAAGUUUGGAUAGUGAGGCACCACACUAUUUUGGAUACACCACAUGCACUGCAGAACAUUUGUGUGGAACCCUCUUGUAGAAGGCAAGUUAUAUGCUUUCUAACUUUGUUUGGUCUAUGGACAUUUAGUUGGAUUUGUUUGCCACUGCUAUUUGGUUUGUUGGUCUCCAUCAUCUGCAAUUAGUUUUCUUGAAGACUCCAGUUGAGGUAUGGUUUUGGAUCUCCUGCUGAUUAUUUGAAUUUGAAAUUUUUGGUUGUCCUGUUGGUGCUCAUGUGAUGAUGGUAAACUUGAGUGGAGGGCAUAGUUUUUUUGUAUGUGGUAUGUUAGACCUUGUUGCCAAAUUUGUAAUCAGUUUUGACUUGGAGAAUAUGCCGUGCUAUUUGAAUGAGUCUAUUGAUGCAGUUUAAGACCAUGGUGUUUGUAAGCAGGUGGAGUUCGUUCUGUGUCCAACUUUGGUAUGGUGUGCUUGAUCUUUUGUUAGUGAUAUUGAAGAAUUUCAGUUCUUCGUUUGAAUCACUUUUGUUUUGAUCAAGGCACUUAUGGUUUGCAAAUUUGGAGAAUACGGUAGAGAAAUGGUCUACUUUUGUUGGCUUUGGUAUAAUUUGAGUCGAGGUGGAGAUCAUUAUGAGUACCGGAAAGUUUGGGGAAUUUGAUUUAGUUCCCGUUGUCUUUAGUUUGUACUUUGGGUGAUUAUGGUGAUUGUUGAUUCGAUUCUCUGUGAUGGUUUCGGAACUUGGCCAAGGUGGAGAUUGUUGAAUUGUGGCCAAGUGGCCAUCAUCGGCUAAUAAACAAACAAAAGAAAAGAAAAAGAAAGACAAAAUGAUGAGGAAACAUCAUGAUGAGGAGGCAUCAUGAUUAUGCUUUCUUCUUUUGUGGUUUUUUAAUAACCAUAAUUAUUGUUUGUUUAUUAGCCGAAAGGUGAUGGCCACUUGGCCACAAUUCAACAAUCUCCACCUUGGCCAAGUUCCGAAACCAUCACAGAGAAUCGAAUCAACAAUCACCAUAAUCACCCAAAGUACAAACUAAAGACAACGGGAACUAAAUCAAAUUCCCCAAACUUUCCGAUACUCAUAAUGAUCUCCACCUUGACUCAAAUUGUACCAAAGCCAACAAAAGUAGACCACUUCUCUACCGUCUUCUCCAAAUUUAAAUCCUAUGAAGAAAGGGAGAGCUCAUUUUUUAGAAGAAAGCAGAUUGAAGAGAGAAGAGGAGAGAGAAGGUAGAACCUUUUGGUUAUAAAAGGCAUUCGAUUAUGCCUUUGGAUGUGGGGAGAGCGGCAGAUGAGAGAGCACAGGGAGAGCAUUCGGCUCUCCCAUUUGAAUAUGAGUUGCUCCUUCCCACCAUUUGUAAUAAUCCAAUUUUGUUAGUAAUCACUCAAUCAAAGAUGUUGGUGCUACUUGUGUAGCUUUUGGGAGAGAAGGAUUUUGAUAUGUGUUUCUUCUUCUCCAUUUGUUUCUUAGUUUGAGUGAGAGCUAUUGGGUGUAUGUGGGAUUUGGGUUUGAGUGUUGAACUCUAUUUGUAAUCUUCUUUUGAUAUUAGUGGAAUUUCCUCGCCGUCUCGGAACUGGAUGUAGGCUUAUGCCGAACCAGUAUAAAAAUCCUUGUGUCUUUUGGAUUAUUUGUCUUGUCAUAUUUUGCCAUUAUUAGCUUUGGUUUCAUAUUUGAAGCUUCAGCAAUACAAACAGUACAAGAUCAAUGAAUUCCUAUGAAUGAAUAAACUAAAGAAAUCGAAGAAAGAGAAUAACGAGAGAGAAAAGCUUUUCAUUUAUAUUGCUCUAACAGAAAAUGAUUACAUGAUAAAAAUCUAAGUCUCCAAAACAAUAAUUAUAUAGAGACUAGAAUGAGCAGAAUCACAAUAUUGCCUUUCUAACUAAUUCUUAUCUUCUAACAACCUCAACACUCACAAGCUUGACACUUGUCAUUUCUUACAACCACUCCUAACAAAUCCUAACUGUUUAUCUGGUUAAUAUAACGGAUGGCCGACGACCGACACCGAGAUUUUCCCAAACCUUGGUCCUUACUCUCGUAUAAAUUCGAAACGAACAGUAAACAAUUUUCUCGCAAUCGGAAGCACGGCAAACAUGGAUCUGAGAGAAAGCAUCAUCAACCAAAACGACGUCGCAAGGAGGCUGACGAAGCAGCUGGUUCAGACCGAAGGCAAGCAGUCGAACCUCGUGUACUCGCCGCUGUCCAUCCACGUGGUGCUGAGCCUGAUCGCAGCCGGGUCAAAGGGUCCCACCCAGGAGCAGCUGCUCUCAUUCCUCAAGUCAGAGUCCACCGACCACCUCAACUCCUUCGCCUCCCAGCUCCUGCCCUUUAUCUUCUCCGAUGGGUCCCCCGUGGGCGGCCCCAAGCUGGCGUUUGCGAAUGGCGUUUGGGUGCAGAAGCCUCUCCCUCUGAAGCCUUCCUUCAAGCAGGUGGUGGAAGCUUCUUACAGGGCCGCUCUCGUCCUAGUUGAUUUUCAGACCAAUGUAAGCUCCCAAACCCUCUGUCAUGUCGUUUCGAUUGUUUUUGUCGAUGCUGCUCAUGAUCAAAGUCUUUGGUUGUAAUUUCAGACCAAUGUUUCAAUGUCGAUGCUGCUGAUGCUCUUUUGUUCGUUACUGUUUUUGGUUGUAAUUGAUCGAGAUAUGCAGGUUGAUAUCAUUGUUUUCUAACUUGUCGUAACUGUUGUUGGUGCUCAAGGCUGCUCAAGUGGAGUCGGAAGUGAAUUCAUGGGCUGAAAAGGAGACGAGCGGCCUUAUCAAGGAUCUACUUCCUCCCGGGUCACUUGACAGCUUCACCAGGCUCAUCUUUACCAAUGCAUUAUACUUCAAGGGAGCUUGGAAUGAGAAAUUUGAUGCAACAGCUACAAAAGAGCAUGACUUCCACCUUCUCGACGGGAGCACAGUUAAGGCGCCCUUCAUGACCAACAAGAACCAGCAGUAUGUAAGUGCCUUUGACGGUUUCUCAGUCUUAGGGCUUCCUUACAAACAAGGUGAAGACAAGCGGCGCUUCUCCAUGCACAUCUUUCUUCCACAGGAGAAAGAUGGGCUGCCAGCUUUGGUUGAGAAACUUGGCUCUGAGUCCGGGUUUUUAGAUCGCUAUCUUCCCAAACAACCAGUUGCAGUGGGCGACUUCAGAAUCCCAAAGUUUAAGAUCUCAUUUGGGUUUGAAGCUUCCAAUGUCCUAAAGAGUCUGGGACUGGUGCUGCCUUUCGUGGGUGGAGGUCUGACAGAGAUGGUGGACUCGCCCGAGGGUAAGAAGCUAUAUGUUUCCAACAUAUUCCACAAGUCGUUCAUCGAAGUGAAUGAAGAAGGCACAGAAGCUGCAGCUGCUUCUGCCGGCGUUAUAAGUGAUAGGAGGAUGCCCAUGACAUUUGUGGCUGAUCGUCCGUUCCUCUUCACGAUCAGGGAAGAAACGACCGGAACAGUUCUGUUCAUCGGUAACCUGCUCAACCCUCUUGCCGGCUGAGUGUUACAAUCCCCUGGGAAAAGGCAUCAUGUGUACGUAGAAUAAUACGAGAGUAUAGUAAAUAAAAUGUAUGAUCCUUGUAUACAUGUGCUAGGUUUGGUUAUUACCUAAUCACCCUGUACUUGCCGCAGUUGGUCUUGUUUCUCCCAUGUGGCGAUUGUUGCUCGUUCUCCCAUGGCGUUUAUCUAUUUGUACAAUCUUGAUUCUGAAUACUUAUUUUAUGUUGUACUCUGUUUGAACAAUUAAAGUUUUAGCCGACUGCAAACGUCGGUUAAGUGUUAAAGUAUUUGGACAGGGAUUGUCUGCUUUUUCAUUUUUCGUGUCCUUCUGUUUUGUGUGUUCACAGUUAAACUACGUCAAUAUUUUAUAUUAUUUUUUUAUAGAAAUAAUAAGAUAAAAAUAAAUAAUAAUAUAAAAUAUUAACGUGACUUAACUGUAACCACACAAACAGGAGGGCACGGAAGACCACCGGAAGUGGAAGAGCGGACAUUCUUGUCCAAAGUAUUUAAUAUAUAGAAUGUACGAGUGCUAGUGCUGUACCAUAUACAUGGUUGGUGAUGAAAAGGAUUAAACUAUGAAUAUUCUAUAAAAUAUUAUUUACCCUAGGACGAGGAUUUUCUUUGGAUCUUCUUUACGAGGAUCUUAGGAAUUAAUUCAUUUUAACGGUUUAUUGUACAUCGUACGGUCAACUUUCGUUAGAUACUUUUUAUGUUUAAUUUUAAAUAAAUUCAAAAUAAUUUUUCACUGCAUGAUGCAUUGAUUCCUAAAGCACUCGCAAAGAGACUCCAGAUGUUUAGUUCUCCAUGACUGGAGAUGGCCUAAGAUGCUAAACACUUAACACUAACCAAUUUUUCCGGUUAGUUAAAUUGUUUAAUAAAUGCUAUCCACACUCUAAAAUAAUUGACCAUAUUUUCUUGACUCUUUUGUUAGAUUGCAUGAAAUAUUGUUCGAGUAAAUAAUCUCUCAAGUAUCACUCAGACUUCAUAAUGAUUUUGAUUUUGAUUACAUAGUAAGCAUGUCAUUAAGGUCAAAUUUUGAACAAACACCCAAUUACAUAGCACGCAUGUUAUUAUGGUGUAUGCUCAUUGUCACUUUCAAAACUUGACACCUGUCUACUAACAUAACCGAUGGCCGACGACCGACACCUUCCCAAACCUUGGUCCUUACCCUCGUAUAAAUUCGAAACGAACAGUAAACAAUUUUCUCGCAAUCGGAAGCACGGCAAACAUGGAUCUGAGAGAAAGCAUCAUCAACCAAAACGACGUCGCAAGGAGGCUGACGAAGCAGCUGGUUCAGACCGAAGGCAAGCAGUUGAACCUCGUGUACUCGCCGCUGUCCAUCCACGUGGUGCUGAGCCUGAUCACAGCCGGGUCAAAGGGUCCCACCCAGGAGCAGCUGCUCUCAUUCCUCAAGUCAAAGUCCACCGAUCACCUCAACUCCUUCGCCUCCCAGCUAGUGUCCGUGAUCUUCUCCGAUGGGUCCCCCGUGGGCGGCCCCAAGCUGGCGUUUGCGAAUGGGCUUUGGGUGCACAAGCCUCUCACGCUGAAGCCUUCCUUCAAGCAGGUGGUGGACGCUUCUUACAAGGCAGCUCUCGCCCUAGUCGAUUUUCAGACUAAUGUAAGCUCCCAAACCCUCUGUCAUGUCGUUUCGAUAGUUUUUUUUUCAAUGCUGCUCAUGAUCAAAGUCCUGAAUUUUUUUUCCCGAUUUGAUUAGAGAUGUAUAAAUAUUUCCUAAAUUGCAGGCCUGCUGAUGCUCUUUUAUUCUUGUAGCAUUUCAACUAAAUAUUUCCUCUCUAAUCAUUACUGUUUGUGCUUGUUCUUGUGCAUAGCCGUUACGAAAUCGUAUCGAAGAUUUUUUUGUUCGUUACUGUUUGUGGUUAUAAUCUAGGUAUUAAAUAUUGAUAAUAUCGGAAAUAUCGGUAGUCCAGAAACACGGAAAUAUUGAUGGAAAUAUCGGGAUAUUAUCGAUAUGUAUAAAAAUAAUAUGGAAACCACGGAAAUUGUAAGAAAAACUUGGAAAUUUUUAUUGAAACUUUGCAGGAUGUUUAUUUAGUCAAUUAUCUAUUAGUUUAUCACAAAAUAUUGGAAGGAAAUGUAUUACAUAAUAGAUUUAACUGAUUUAAGUUGAUUAUAUAGCGAACUAGCGAACUACCAAACAUUAUGAGUUAGAAAAUAUGUAGUAAUUAAUAAAAGAAGUUUAAACACACAGUCACCGACUAUUAAAAAUUGUACAUGUAAAAGCUGUAAAAGUUGAAUUAUUUAGAUGCUUUUUUUUCUUACAUGCCACCCACACACACACACACACAGACUCUCACACGCCAACACACACGCACACACAGAUCACACACACAUCACACACACAGACAGAGACUGAGGUCUCUCUUUCUCGAUCCUUCUCUCUUCUCUCUCGAUCCUUCUCCCUUCUCUUCGACAGAGACUGAGGUCUAUCUCUCUCUCGAUCCUUCUCUCUUCUCUCCCUUCUCCAUUCUCCCACACACACACCCAGAUCUCUCGAUCUCUCUUCUCCCUUCUCCCACACACACGCACAGAGACCUCGCCCCUCCCCCCUCGUCAUCGUCUCCACCGCAAAUCUAGGUCUUUGAACGUAAAUUGCAGGCCUGCUGAUGCUCUUUUAUUCUUGUAGCAUUUCAACUAAAUAUUUCCUCUCUAAUCAUUACUGUUUGUGCUUGUUCUUGUGCAUAGCCGUUACGAAAUCAUAUCGAAGAUUUUUUGUUUGUUACUAUUUGUGGUUAUAAUCUAGGUAUUAAAUAUUGGUAAUAUCGGUAGUCCAGAAACACGGAAAUAUUGAUGGAAAUAUCGGGAUAUUAUCGAUAUGUAUAAAAAUAAUAUGGAAACCACGGAAAUUGUAAGAAAAACUUGAAAAUUUUUAUUGAAACUUUGCAGGAUGUUUAUUUAGUCAAUUAUCUAUUAGUUUAUCACAAAAAAAUUGGAAGGAAAUGCAUUGCAUGAUAGAUUUAACUGAUUUAAGUUGAUUAUAUAGCGAACUAGCGAACUAGCAAACAUUAUGAGUGUAGAAAAUAUGUAGUAAUUAAUGAAAGAAGUUUAAACACACAGUCACCGACUAUUAAAAAUUGUACAUGUAAAAGCUGUAAAAGUUGAAUUAUUUAGAUGUUUUUUUUUCUUACAUGCCAUCCACACACACACACACACACAGACUCUCACACGCCAACACACACCACGCAUACACAGAUCACACACACAGACAGAGACUGAGGUCUCUCUCUCUCGAUCCUUCUCUCUUCUCUCUCGAUCAUUCUCCAUUCUCUCUCGACCUAGACUGACUCUCUCUCUCUCUCUCUCUCUCUCUCUCUCUCUCUCUCUCUCUCUUUCCCACACACACACAGAUCUUUCGAUCUCUCUUCUCCCUUCUCCCACACACACGCACAGAGACAUCGUCCUUCGUCAUCGUCAUCGUCUCCCACACACACGCACAGAGACCUCGCCCCUCGUCAUCGUCUCCACCGCAAAUCUAGGUCUUUGAACGUAAAUUGCAGGCCUGCUGAUGCUCUUUUAUUCUUGUAGCAUUUCAACUAAAUAUUUCCUCUCUAAUCAUUACUGUUUGUGCUUGUUCUUGUGCAUAGCCGUUACGAAAUCGUAUCGAAGAUUUUUUGUUCAUUACUGUUUGUGGUUAUAAUCUAGGUAUUAAAUAUUGGUAAUAUCGGAAAUAUCGGUAGUCCAGAAACAUGGAAAUAUUGAUGGAAAUAUCGGGAUAUUAUCGAUAUGUAGAAAAAUAAUAUGGAAACCACAAAAAUUGUAAGAAAAACUUGAAAAUUGUUAUUGAAACUUUGCAGGAUGUUUAUUUAGUCAAUUAUAUAUUAGUUUAUCACAAAAAAUUGGAAGGAAAUGCAUUGCAUGAUAGAUUUAACUGAUUUAAGUUGAUUAUAUAGCGAGCUAGCAAACAUUAUGAGUAGAAAAUAUGUAGUAAUUAAUGAAAGAAGUUUAAACACACAGUCACAGACUAUUAAAAAUUGUACAUGUAAAAGCUGUAAAAGUUGAAUUAUUUAGAUACUUUUUUUUCUUACACGCCACCCACCCACACACACACACACACUCUCACACGCCAACACACACGCACACACAUACACACAUCACACACAGACAGAGACUGAGGUCUCUCUUUCUCGAUCCUUCUCUCUUCUCUCUCGAUCAUUCUCCCUUCUCUCCGACAGAGACUGAGGUCUCUCUCUCUCUCUCGAUCCUUCGCUCUUCUCUCCCUUCUCCAUUCUCCCACACACACACACAGAGAUCUCUCGAUCUCUCUUCUCCCUUCUCCCACACACACGCACAGAGACAUCGUCCCUUGUCAUCGUCAUCGUCUCCCACACACACAUACACAGACCUCGCCCCUCGCCCCUCGUCAUCGUCUCCAUCGCAGAUCUAGGUCUUUGAAUGUCAAAGUUUCGAGCGCACCUCAAAUCCAGGCAAUCUGAUUCUGACGCUGUAGUCGUCGCCGCCACCACCAACUUCCUAAGCCAAGAAUGGAGAACCUGAUCUCGUUGGUGAACAAAAUCCAGAGGGCUUGUACUACUCUAGGGGACUAUGGCGAAGGUAGUGCAUUCGUCGUCGCCGUCGUCGCCAUCGCCGUCAGUGGUCAGAUCAACUCCCGGUCCCUCACCUUCUUACCUCUUCGAUUGAUUCAUGCAUAUGAAUUGUGGUUGUGUUUUCAAUCGCUCUGUAGCUUAGAUCUUGAUCUUAAUCAUGUUUUUGCAAGGUUUUUGGGAUGAAAUCGGCUCGGGAAUCGGCACACCCAUUUCCGGCGUUCUUCUCCGAGUAGCCAGUUCCAAAAAUAUCGUGAUAAUUUCGGAAAUAUUACGAUAUUAUCGAUAGUAUAGCUAUAUUUUGACGAAAACCCUUUGGAUACCUAUUAAAAUAUCGGUCCGGCGAAAAACCGAUAAUAUCGACGAUAUAUUGGCGAUUUUGUUCCUUGGUUAUAAUUGAUCGAGAUAUGCAGGCUGAUAUCAUUGUUUUCUAACUUGUCGUAACUGUUGUUGGUGCUCAAGGCUGCUCAAGUGGCGUCGGGAGUGAAUUCAUGGGCUGAAAAGGAGACGAGCGGCCUUAUCAAGGAUCUACUUCCUCCCAGGUCACUUGACAGCUCAACCAGGCUCAUCUUUACGAAUGCAUUGUACUUCAAAGGAGCUUGGACUGAGAAAUUUGAUGCAUCAGCUACAAAAGAGCAUGACUUCCACCUUCUCGACGGGAGCACAGUUAAGGCGCCCUUCAUGACCAGCAAGAGGAAGCAGUAUGUAAGUGCCUUUGACGGUUUCUCAGUCUUAGGGCUUCCUUACAAACAAGUUGAAGACAAGCGGCGCUUCUCCGUGCACAUCUUUCUUCCAGAGGAGAAAGAUGGGCUGCCAGCUUUGGUUGAGAAACUUGGCUCUGAGUCCGGGUUUUUGGAUCGAUAUCUUCCCAAACAACCAGUUGCAGUGGGCGACUUCAGAAUCCCAAAGUUUAAGAUCUCAUUUGGGUUUGAAGCUUCCAAUGUCCUAAAGAGUCUGGGACUGGUGCUGCCUUUCGAGGGUGAAGGAGGUCUGACAGAGAUGGUGGACUCGCCCGAGGGUAAGAAGCUAUAUGUUUCCAGCAUAUUUCACAAGUCGUUCAUCGAAGUGAAUGAAGAAGGCACAGAAGCUGCAGCUGCUUCUGCCGGCGUUAUAAGUCAGAGGAGUAUGCCCAUGACAUUUGUGGCUGAUCAUCCAUUCCUCUUCACGAUCAGGGAAGAAACCACAGGAACAGUUCUGUUCAUCGGUAACCUGCUCAACCCUCUUGCCGGCUGAGUGUUACAAUCCCCUGGGAAAAGGCAUCAUGUGUACGUAGAAUAAUACGAGACUAUAGUAAAUAAAAUGUAUGAUCCUUGUAUACAUGUGCUAGGUUUGGUUAUUACCUAAUCACCCUGUACUUGCCGCAGUUGGUCUUGUUUCUCCCAUGUGGCGAUUGUUGUUCGUUCUCCCAUAUGGCGUUUAUCUAUUUGUAGAAUCUUGAUUCUAAAUACUUAUUUUAUGUUGUACUCUGUUUGAACAAUU
rnacentral:lncRNA from 1 species